GCAUCUCUAAGGUUUCAGCCAAAGCUGUACACUGAGGCCUUGUCUUCAGCAACGGCAGCAAAACCCUGUUCCACUGAAGAUAGUGAGGAAUGUGAUAAGGAGUAAUAGAUGCUCUUGCAAGUUAGAGAGAAAGGCUAACUGCUAACAUGUAAGAAAAUGCUGAGGAAAUUUAGUUUUUAGAUAGCAAAUUAAAGGAAUAGAGGUGCACACUAACUAGUAUAUUGGCAAACUUCCUGAGAUGCAUGUGCAUGGUAAUUAGAAGCAUAUUGACUUUUAAAUGUCAGCCAGCUUUUAUUCUCUUCCUCCUAGUGUCUGUUUGUAUGAACAGUGAUUAUUUUUACUUUUCAAGGGGGUUAUCAAGUUUUCUGUGAACAUUUGUUAAUUACUACUACUAUAUAUAGCUGCUACCAGCAAUGGUUCAGGGUUUUCUUGGUUGAAUUUCUUAGUUGUUAAAGCAUUGUUAAGACUUUCUCAUUUCAUUAUUGAGGUUUGGGGGCAUAGCCUAUGAAUCCAGUAAACUGAUGCUCUUAGUUGUGUCCCUUAUAGUAUAUUAUUGACAUAUUAUCAGUUACAUUCUAAGAGGAAAAGAGAACUGGGCUAAAUUAGUUUACUUGAGACUUGUGUAUGCCUGCUAUUAGUAUAUUCUGUUAGUGUGUUUUAUUGGCUAUAGGGGCUAUAGGAGCAGACAGCGUUUAAAGGAGACUGAACCUCUGCCCUGUUUCACAUUUUAGGAUGCUUACUUUCUUAAUCUCACUAGGGAGUCCAAUGGAGAAAAAGCACACAUCUCCCUCCAGUGAACAACUAAAGACUACACAAGCAUCAAAAAUAUUCUAGUUUCAGAAAAGGAAAAAUAUUAUAUAGAAGAAUGAGAGAUAUGUAUUUUGAUGUGGACUACGAAUAUAACUGUAUACAGAGGACUUGUCUUUAUGUAUGAGGCUCUAAGGUCAAGUCCCAGCACCACAAACAAGACCCACUUGGAUUUUUGGAGCAAUUAAGAAUGAGAAACCACUGAUUGCAAUUAAGAAUAGGACCAUAAUCCCAGCACUUGGGAGGCUUAGGUAGGCCACCAUGAAUUAGAAGCCCUCUUGGGCUGCAAGUAAGUCUGUCUUAAGAAGGGAAAACAAGAGGCUACUGAGAUAGUUCAGGGGUAAAUAACCCCAGGUGCUUUUCUAGAAAGACUUGGGUUUGAUUUUCAGCACCUAUGUGGGAACUUAAAACUAUCUUUUUUAAAAAAAUUUUUUCCUUUCAUAUAAUACAUCCCAACUGCAGUCUCCCUUCCCCCAGCCUUCCCCUCUCUUUCCCAUGUCUGUUCCCCCCACUUUGCCUUUCCUCAGAAAAGAGCAGGCUUCUCAGGGACAUCAAACACAAGCGUCAAUAAGACCAGCCAUAUACCAUUAUAUCAAGGCUGGACGAGACUACCCAGUUGGAGAAACAGGUUCCCACCAGCAGGCAAAGGCAUCAGAGACAGCCCCUGUCCCCACUAUUAGGGACCCCACAAGAACAUGCAGCUAGCUAUUUAGCCACAACAUGUGUCAGAGGACCAGGUCAGAUCUCUGCAAGCCCCCGUGAGUCCUGUCAGUUGAUUUUGCAGGCCAUGUUCUAGGAGUGUCCCUAACCUUUCUGGUUCUUCAGAUCCUUCCUCCACCUCCCCUACAGGACUCCGGGAGCUCUGCCUAAUGUUUGGCCAUGGGACUGGCUCUCAUCUGCUCCCAUUAGCUGCUGGAUGGAGUCUGGCUGGUCUCUGAUGACAGUUUAUGCUAGUCUCCAGUUGCAGAACACUCUGCAGGCAGGUUGAAGGGUUUAUGGCUGGGUUGGUAUACCUGUCCCUCCACUUUAGGCCUUACCUGCUUACAGAAGAUGCCUGGGUCAGGCUCCCUGACCCCAACUACUAGGAGUCUUUGCUAGCAUAACCAUCUCUGGUAUCUCAAGUUCAGAACUCAAGUUCUGAGGGACCUGAGGCCCUCUUUUGGCCUCUUUUGGCCCUCUUUUGGGCAACCAGGCAUGCAUGUGGCACACUAGACAUAUAUG
rnacentral:sRNA from 1 species